rnacentral:sRNA from 1 species
CUCCCCCGGGAUAGCUGUCCUGUUAGAAUCAGAAAUCGGUGUGUUAUGACGUCCCGUCCGCGUGGUGUGAAGCGGCGCUGGAGGCUUAGUCGUAUAGUCUUCCGUCACUUAGCUGACCAUGGGCAACUUUCUGGGAUCCAGCGAGCAACAUGCCUCAACUCAAUACAGUUGUUUUUAUACUUCUUUUUCAAGUGAAAGGUAAAAACACUGGUUUAUUCUCUUCUGAACAAGGUUCUCAAUCUGUUACCCAAGCUGCAGUACAGUGGCAUUAUCAUAGCUCACUGCAGCCUUAAACUCCUGGGCUCAAGUGAUCCUCCAGCCUUAGUAGCUGGGAUUACGGGCGCCAGCCUUCAUGCCUGGCUUCAAUUGCUUUCUCUGAUCUGUGUUGGCUAAUACCUCCAGUAAAAUAAAGUAAUGGAGAUCACAGGCACUGGUCCUGACUUCAGGGGGAAUAGGAGUAAUUCUCUAAAAGCCUGAUUUUUCUGACAUACUCCUAGACAAAUAAAUCAUAAAACUGUUCUAAUGAAGAAAAA